UAAAGUGAAAGUGUGUGACUUCCUCCUGGACCUGUACUCUUAUGAGACUAAAACAGGUCUGAGUGUCCUUCCAUCAUUACAGUCAGUUUUCCAGUCAGCUCCUGCAGUCUGGUCCAUAAACCUCUCAGAGAGAAAGACCUCCAUCCUCCUGGAGCUGCUGAAACUCCAACCAGAGAAGAAACAAGUGGAGCUGAGAGGCUGCUCACAUGAAGAGAGUGAAGUGAGGAGUUUGCUGCAGUGUCUGCCUUUUAUCUCACAGCUCAGUGUUUUUCCUCUGUAGGUCACUCAUCCAUGAGCAGUCAGGUUCUUUGUGAGUCUGUUCUGUGCAGCAGCAGAGAGAGAGCAGCAGACAGGAGAGAAGAUCCUGGAGCGUUAGCAUCAGUGUGCACAUA